rnacentral:hammerhead_ribozyme from 1 species
GCACUGCUGACGAGUCCCAAACUUGACGAAACAGCUGUCCAGUGC